ensembl:lncRNA
UGUCCAUGAAGAGCAUAUCUUCAGAAGAAAUGAUCUGUCAAGGAUACAAAGAAAAAUCAAGACCUGAUGGAUGGAGUCCCGCAGAGAUGGUUGCCCUUUUGACAGCUUUGACAAAUCAUUUGUCUUAAAAAGAAGAGAGAACGGUCCUACUGGAAGCCAAAACUCAGCUAUUACAGCUAUUUUUCUCACUCUAUCACCCUUUUAAUCCUUUUUUCCAAAUGUUUUUUGUAUCCCCGAGGCGGAGGUUUUUCUAUAUAUGGAGGGGUGUUGAGAGGAUGUGAGCCGAUCACAGUGAGUCAGUCAUUGUGUGCGUAUCUGAGUACAUUGUGGCCUGAGAAGAAGGCCACACAAUCAACACACACACACACACACACACACACACACACACACACACACACACACAGAGCAAACAGAUGUGUCUUGAAAAGAUGUGAAUGGGCGAAUUCAUUGAAAUGUGUGAAAAGCACAUAUAUGCAACACCUUUUUUUAUGCAGUAAGCAAAUCCUUUAAAAUCUAGAGCUAAAUUGAGAUAUUUAUUAUUAUAGACACAAGAUUUCUGUUUGCCUGUCUUGCUAUUUUUCCUUGCUUUCACCCCCCCCACACACAUGCCUUAAAACUCAUAUUUUAAACAAAUCCACAGUGAAGAAGAUCUACUGAAAAGAACCACAAACCAGCAGCAAAACAAAGUGCUUGAUAUCACCGUAAUCAAGAGCUGAAUAAGCAGAAUUGAGAUAAAUGGAGCGAGAGAACACUAAAAAGGAACAUAGUAACUGAUGAAAGUAGUCUUAAAGGAAUAGUUACCCUAAAAUUCUGCAAUUUACUUGUCAUUCCAAACCCCAUGACUUUCUUUUCCAUGCAAUCACAGUGAAUG